rnacentral:lncRNA from 10 species
GCCAGCAUGCUGUCACCUCUCACAGAUAGGGUUUCACCAUGUUGGCCAAGCUGGUCUUGAACUCCUGACCUCAGGUGAUCUGUCCGCCUUGGCCUCCCAAAGUCCUGGGAUUACAGGCAUGAGCCACUGCACCCAGCCUGUCUCAUCACUUUAAGUCCCAUCUGUAUAAUACAUAUCUCUGGCCAGCUCAGAGCUCUCCCCUAAAUUCCAGAUCCAUGUAUCCCUUGUCUGCACCAAAUCUCACUUUGGUUGCAUGGCAGGUACCCGACACUCACCUUGUCCUGAUGCCCCUCAGAAAUGGCCAUCCCAGGAAAUUGCAGUCCCGUCCCUCCAGUUGGUCAAGCCAAGACCCAAGGAGUCACCCGUGACUCUCUCUCUCCCUCACACCCCUCAUCCAAACCAUCAGCACAUCCUGCAAGCUCUGCCUUCACAAUGAAUCUGGGAUCUGAACAGUCCUCACUGUGGCAUUCAGGGUUCUGCCCCACAGCCACAUCCACGCUUCUGACCUCAUGAGCUCUCUCCCCUGGCUCACUUAGCUCCAGCCACCCUGAGCUCCCGGACAGUCUUCGAAUGUGCCGGACAUAUCUCAGAGGCUUCACGCUUGCUCCUUCCUCUGCCUGGGCCACCCUUUACUCAGGCAAACAUCACCUUCUAAAUAAGGCCUUCCCCAGCCAUUCUCUAUUAGGCCCAUUGCAGUCCCCCCACUCUUCUCCAGUACUCCCAGUUUUCCUCCCUGGUUUAUUUUUCUCGUUAGCACCUAACACCAUUUAAUACGUAUUGCACCCAUAUGUUUAUUGCCUCUCCCCCAACUAGAAGGUAUAGA